AACGCACGAGACCUGCGGACCUGCGGAGGGAUCAUUAUUUGAUCUAAAUCGGAGGCUUAUGUCGCCGUUUUGCUUUGUGAACUGUCUUGUACUGUUGUAUUUUUUUUAAAGUUGUUGUUGUUUUCUUCGGAAAAUACAAAUAAAGACAACUUUCAACAAUGGAUCUCUAGAUCA
rnacentral:misc_RNA from 1 species